AUCUUGUCCAUUUUAGAAAAAAAAAGCCUGUGCUAUUGAUCUGGAUUGCAUUAAAUCUUUAGGUCAGUUUGGGAAGAAUUGAUAUUUUAAUAAUAUUGAAUCUUCCAAUCUGUGAACAUUGUAUAUCUCCUGACUUAUCUAGAUAUUCUUUAAUUCUGUCAGCAAUAUUUUACAUUUUCUUGGGCAAUUGUAUUGUGCAUCUUUUGCUAAAUUUGCCCCAAGGUAAAUUCAGUACCAUUGUUGAUAGUAGUAGGAUAAUCCGUUUCAUCUUUCUCAGCUUCUAGGGGUUGUGUGUGCUCCAUGGGCUGAUGGUCCUCUCCCUUCAUCUCCAAAGCAAGCAGCAUUGCAUCUCUGACCAUUCCUCCAUAGUCACAGCCAGAGGUUCCAGGCUCCUCAACAUUAGCAGGAGUGCCACCUCCCAGGUAGCAGUGGUGGCUCUAACCACAAUUGUAGCAGCAAGUGUGUGCUCAUGGGAUCUGGAAAAUACUUUUUGCAACAGAAAUCAUUGGAUGAAGCAGCACAGGAUCCCUCAGCAGACGCUGGCACCAUGCUUGUGCUACUUCUCAGCCUCUAAAAACCACAAACCAAAUAAACGCUUGCGCACUAUAAAUUACUCAGUCCCAGUUAAUUUGUUAUAGCAGCACAAAAUGGCCUAAGACACCACUGCAACCUGGAAACUUCGGUUGUAGAAGAGGCGCUCAGAGAGAUUCCAAGAUGGUGGAAUAGGGAGGAGCUUACUGCUGUAGUCUAGGGGAAGAUAGUAAAAAAAAAAAAAAAAAAAAA